CUCAGUUUCAAGUGGCUGCUGCUGCUUUCGCCCUCCCCUUCAGUGCGACAAUCUCAGAGCUGGUGGAGAAGCAGAGCGCGUGCAGCUGGAUAAAUUCGUAGAUGUGGAAUUUCUGGAUCAAAUGGUCACCAAUUGUUUCAGCAUCAUUUAUUGAAUAAUUCAACCUUCUUCCACUGAUAUGAAAUGGCAACAACUGCUCUCCCUUUAGCUAGGGUAUAGUGUCCACAGGUUGGCCAUUUUCUUUCUACCCGAGAUGGUCACAUUCCUCAAUAGCACUCCUACCUUCUUGCAGCUUCUGGCAGCUUUCUAAAACAUCAUGUUCGUGUUCAUGCCUUUCAAGGAUUCUAGGCACAUGUGGUUUAGGGCAGU